UGCUUUUAAAUAUUAUUAUAAUAAUUAUCAUAAUGAGUGAAAGUAUUAGGAAAAUUUCGGAACGGGACUGAACGAUUUUCACCCCAUGGCCUAAUACUGAACAGUAGCAGGGCCAUGAAACAUCCUUGUAUGGUGCCAUUUGUCGAACGCUUUGGUGAGAUCGACAAACACCAUGUACAGGUCUAGAUUCUGCUUCUUGCACUUAUUUUGCAAUUGUCUAGCUGCCAACAACAUAUCAGUAGUACCGCUGCCAGGCCUGAAGCCACACUGACUGUCUGGGAAAGUACUGUCGAGAUGGGUGGUGAGACGGUUGAUCACUCUGGCAAAGAUCUUGCCAGCUAUUAUUAAGAAGCGAUAUUCCCCGGUAGUUAUUGCAUACUCGCCUAUCUCCUUUGUUCUUAUAUAAAUGGAUGAUCAAUGCGUCUUUGAAGUCUUGUGGAACUUCGCUUUCUGCCCACAUUUGUUUGAAAAGCCGGAUAAGUUCUAUCGCAAGUGCAUCUCCACCAUGCUUGUACACUUCUGGAGGAAUACCAUCCUCACCUAGUUUCUUUAAUUGAAAAGAAAAGGAGUGACAUGAUCAUACUUUCGAGUACCGGUACAUAUACUGGCAGCAGUGUUUUGAAUGUGUUUUGAAAUGCUUGAGCAAUUCCCGGGGAACGCCAGCUAAUAGAGAAUUGCAAAAAUCUAGCCGAAAUGAUAUCAGUGAAUGAACUAUUAUUUCAGCCGAUUUGUUGUUAAGAAAUUUUCUUAUUUUAUUGAUGUUACGAACGUAGUCAUUAGCAGACUUGCAUAUAGAGCUAACAUGUACUUCAAAAGUAAGGUGUUGGUCAAAAAUUACACCUAGGUUCCUGAUAGAUGUCGAAGACACCAAGGACUGUUGUCCCAAGGGUAAUGGGUGGAAAAGUGGGCUUAUGGUGCGGAAAUCUGGAAUGGAAUAUAUAUUCAGUUUAGUUUUCAUUCAUUUGAAGUUUGUUCAGAAACAUCCAUUGUUUGAUUUUAGAAACUGUCUGCUCAAUCCUAUUUAUAGCAAUGGUGCGUCAGUCACUGGACUUUGGCUUAUAUCAGCAGUGGCGUCAUCAGAUAUAUAAGAGAUGAUUAAAGUGAUGUGCCCAUUUGUCAGUGAUAAGUGCUGGUUCUUUAAUCAGUCUUUCCUUCAAUAUCGAAGAGUGGGCUACCUCCUCUGGAUGAUGGCCAAUACACAGCCUUGAGUUUGCUGAAGAACUUCUUUGCAUCUUUUCUAUCAGCAGCCUAGAGCUCUCUUGUCCUGCUUGCCCACCAGUUGUUCUUCAUCACACAUAGUUUAUUUUGGACCAUUUGUUUUAUCCUGUUGUAUCUGUCUUUUUUGCCUAUGGACAACAAACACCAGGACCCAUUGUUGUACGUGUUCCAGAUAGGCCAAUUUGUACUGGAGCACCGUUGGCCACACCAGAAGAAUCAGCAACAAAAAAGAUCAAAGGAUGGGAAGAAGAAAUGGACAAUGACUUAGUAAAAGAGAUGCUCAAUUCCAACAUUUUUAGCUACAAAUAUAAUUCGAAGAGCCGGGGUGCGCAGUGGAAAUUGCUUGCAGAGAAGCUCAAUGAGUGCUGGGGGGAUGGUUUUCAGACAAAUGAAAGAGCCUUGAGAGAUAAGGACAAUGGAUUGAAAAAAAGAUUUAAAAAUAAAAUUAGAUAAGAAGAAGCAGCAUCGGGCAUUACACCACCAGAUUUAACGGAGCUCGAGAGGGGACUUGAGGAGUUAAUUGAAAAGGAAGAACAAGAUAAAAAUGAGGACAAGUUCAAGUCAGAAAAGGAGGAAGCUUUGAGUGCACAGGAUAGAUGCAUGAAGGGAAUGACACCCAAAAGAAAAGGGAGUGAAGAGGAAGUGUGUUCAAAGAGAGUUUCUAGAAAUGAUACUAUCACAUACCUUAGGGAAGAAAAUGGAAAGAAAAGACAAAUGGAGAAGAGAAGAAGCUGACAGAAAGGACCAACAAUUCAUGGCAGAGCUCGAGGUGAGAAAGUUGGAAUCAGAAGAGAGAAGAAUGCAAGCUGAAGCCCAAAACACUAUGUUUAAAGAACUAUUUAAUAUGCUUGCCCGAAAAUAAGCCACUGUAUUUGUGAGUCUUCUUUUUUCUGCCUCUAACUUUCUCACCUCAAGUUCUACUUACUGUAAACUUAUUAUUAGUAAAUUCAUGCACAUUCUCACCUAAAAAGAUAGACAUGUUCUAUAAAAGUAUAUAUCUCCCUCAAAUUGUAACCAUCUUUAAUACUAAUUGCCUACAAAAUGUUAUAUGUAGACAAACAAUUAAAUUAAUAUGACCAAAGCAAUUUAUAAAAUAAUGUGUAAAAUAAUCAAAACUAAAAAUUUAAUUAAUAAGCAAUUCGACGGUCGUUAAACCAUGCCUACAUGUGCAGUGGUAAAAUCCUACUUUACGCAAAUGUAGUUGCUAAACUGACCAAUUGGCCUUGUCUGUUUUGGUCACGUGGAUACCUAUUGCAAAUUAAUGCACUUUGAGUUGCGUUAAUAAAGAAUAAAAACAAUAUAACACUUUGACAUAGCCUUUCAUUUUGUUUAACAAAUCUUUAAUUACUACUGUAAUGUCAAGCAAAAGAUUUUUUUUAUUUGAAUGAUUUUUUUUACACAAUACAGUUUUUACAACCUAUAACACAUUAACUACAGUGUACGGUAAACUCUGUAGUUAACAUUAA